rnacentral:rRNA from 1 species
AUGGGAACGCGAAGAACCUUACCUAGACUUGACAUCUCCUGAAUAGUGUAGAGAUACAUGAAGCCCUUCGGGGCAGGAAGACAGGUGGUGCAUGGUUGUCGUCAGCUCGUGUCGUGAGAUGUUGGGUUAAGUCCCGCAACGAGCGCAACCCUUAUUACUAGUUGCUACCAUUAAGUUGAGCACUCUAGUGAGACUGCCCGGGGUUAACCGGGAGGAAGGCGGGGAUGACGUCAAAUCAUCAUGCCCCUUAUGUCUAGGGCAACACACGUGCUACAAUGGUGAGUACAGAUAGAUGCGAUACCGCAAGGUGGAGCCAAACUCUAAAACUCAUCCCAGUUCGGAUUGUAGGCUGAAACUCGCCUACAUGAAGUUGGAGUUGCUAGUAAUCGCGAAUCAGAAUGUCGCGGUGAAUACGUUCCCGGGUCUUGUACACACCG